rnacentral:lncRNA from 1 species
GGGGAGAGAAGAAGAAGAAAAUGGGAGAGGGAGAGAAUGCAGAGGAGGAGGAAGAAGAAGAAAAGCGGAGCAGAAGCACAUAGCCUGGAGAAACCGCAAGUUCUAAGGGGUCUCAUUGAUGUGGAAGGUUUGCUCUGAAGACCAGAAGAGCCAAGAGUUGGGAAAGCAAUAUACCUCUUGUGAAGAUUCUCUUACCACGAGUUCAAGAAACCUGCAGCUUGUACAGCUUUUGCACCUUGGGUUAACCAUUUAAAUGCUGUAUUUUGCUCUCACAGAAAGUACUGGGAAGUCUGCUACCCUUAGUAAUUUGCUGCCCUAGGCAACUGCUUGUUUGGGCUCAGUUCUCCCAGCUGGAGUCAUUGUUCCAACUUAUUUGUACGUUUUUUGAGUCUGUAAACUGGAGCUCAUUCUAUAGACCAAACUGGUCUUGAACUCAGAAAUUUGGCUGCCUCUGCCUCCCAAGUGCUGAGAUUGAAGGCAUGCACCACCACGGCCCAGCAGAACUAACCCAUUCUUAUUGGAGCUACAUCAAUCCCUUUCUCUGAGUGGACUCUACCAGGGCAUAAUUACUUCAUCAAGGUUCUACCACCUGACCACACCAUUAUGCUGAUGACCAAAGUGCAACAUGAGUUUUGUCAGGACAAGCAAAAUGUACACUCUGGAUCCCCACCGCACCUCACCAUCUGUCGCCACAACUCUGGAGAUGAGGGAUACCAGCUAUUAUGAAGGCUCAAUAACCCAAUUGGUUCUUUCUAUUUUCAAAAUAAAUUCUAGAACUCUCUUU